CUAGUGACAGCUGUGCUAAUGAGAUAACUCUUAUUAAUUCCUUGCUUACAUGGGAAGGAACUCACCCAGUCUAGAUAAAAUUAUAGUCUUAACUCAGCGAACUUUUUAAAUGCGAAAGCCAAAAGGAGGCCCCACUAGAAGUGGAGGCAUGGGAAAUCUCCUUGGAGCUGGGCCCAUGAGGGAAUCCACUGCUCUGAAUAGGAUGACUUCUAAAGGAUUUGCCAGCUUUGAAAUGGAUCACAGGGAGAUGGGAAUGGAAAAGCAGAGAAACAUGACAGAAACGUGCUCAGCAGUACUCGUGGGACUGGAGACUAACAGAGCUGACAGCAACAAAGUGCAAAAUCAGGGAGUCGCCUUUACUGGAAGCCUUUCAAAGGAACAGAAUCUCAGCUCUGUUCUUUCCUAAUUUUCCUUUCAUCUGAAGGCCAGCGCUGUAAAGCUGUGACUGUCUGGAGCAGUAGAGCAGCUGGUGUUACCUGUCAGUACAGCUGCUGCUUGUUGGUACCAAUUCUGCCUCAGUAUUUCGAAUCUAUUUUACAAAACAAGUGGUCUCACCCAUGCAACGCAACCAAAUUAAUUGGAACGAUUGAGACAAACCAAAGCAAAGCCUGAAGUGGAACCCACUGCCAUCAUUUCAAGACCUUUUAUUUCAAGUAACCACGUGGGGAACAUGAUGGUGAUUGCGGCCAGUGUGGAGUGGUUGCCUUCUUCCAACAUGGGCAGAGUGCUGCUGAGCCUGCAGGGCUGAGCCAAAGCUGCUACAGAGACUUCCCAGGCGAUGUCUGAUUGGAAAACUUUGAACAUGGUCUCCUAUCAUGAGUUAUUACUGCUCCUGAAUGUACAGCACUUAGGAAUACAAAUGGUGGUCUCUGCAGCACAUUUAAAUGGGCUGUGUGUUGUCUGUCCUUUCUCACGUUGUGGAAUGUGUUCCUAUGGGUUCCUCUGUUGGAGAAGCGUGACAUCAUUUUUCAGACAGAAUCGGUGAGGCUUUAAGUUCAGAUACCCGACAGAAUCACAGAACUGUGGAAUCUUUGGGGUUAGAAGGGACCUCUGAAGCUCGCCCAGUCCAGCUCACCUGCACUGAACAGCAACAUGCACGGCUAGGCCAGGAAACGUGGUUGAGACUUCACAUCUUCAGGCUUUCUCAAAUGUGAAGAACUUUCUUAAUGCCUAUCGAAAUUUGGGAUUCUUUGUAACCGAAUAAUUCCUGGAGGCUGAGCUGUAAAGAAAACACGGGCUGCUCGAACACAUUCUCCAGAAUUCUAAAAAUGCAAAACAAUUAUUGUUGGCUUCAAAGAGUUACUCAGAGUAAAGAACAGCUUUAUCUACAUCUGAUCUUCAGGGGGGGGGGAAAAAAAAAGCAUAUGGGCCUGGAAACAUCCCAGCCUCUCAGACAGCACUGAUAUUCUCCUAAUGCAGCUACCAGGCCAGGUGUACUUCAGUGUGAGGGCUGUGCGGUGGCCUUCAGCAGUCUUCAGCUGGAGCUGCCAAACCCUCUUGUGUUGUAAUUAAACGGUACAUUUGGAGCAAAAGGAAAAUAUGCAGCAGUUUGUUUAUUCAGAAGGAAAUGCUUGAUAGAAUCUAACAGAUUACAUUCUUGGAAAGGAAUGGGAGCAAAAAUAGAU
ensembl:lncRNA